rnacentral:rRNA from 1 species
UACAGAGGGUGCAAGCGUUGUUCGGAAUUAUUGGGCGUAAAGGGCGCGUAGGCGGCCUUCUAAGUCAGACGUGAAAUCCCCCGGCUUAACCUGGGAACUGCGUCUGAUACUGGAUGGCUUGAGUGUGGGAGAGGGAUGCGGAAUUCCAGGUGUAGCGGUGAAAUGCGUAGAUAUCAGGAGGAACACCAAUUGCGAAGGCAGCUCGCUGGGACGUUACUGACGCUGAGACGCGAAAGCGUGGGGAGCAAACAGG